GUUUCUGAACUCGUCUGAUUGGUUAAACUGGUAUUAGAGGUUUCUGAACUCUGGUCUGAUUGGUUAAACUGGUAUUAGAGGUUUUUGAACUCUGGUCUGAUUGGUUAAACUGGUAUUAGAGGUUUUGAACUCGUCUGAUUGGUUAAACUGGUAUUAGAGGUUUCUGAACUCUGGUCUGAUUGGUUAAACUGGUAUUAGAGGUUUCUGAACUCUGGUCUGAUUGGUUAAACUGGUAUUAGAGGUUUCUGAACUCUGGUCUGAUUGGUUAAACUGGUAUUAGAGGUUUCUGAACUGCAGUUUGAUUGGUUAACCUGGUAUUAGAUGUCUUUAACUUCAUGCUGAUUGGUUAACCUGGUAUUGGAGAUCUAAAGCUGCAAUCUGAUUGGUUACAGUGACAUUUCAGGUGGGACGUAGUCUGGAAUUGGAGGUGGAAUAUGUGGCCUACAGAGAAAACUAAAAUGUUAAUCGAAAACAUGCCAAGUGACCCUUUUCAUGCGUAAUGCUAGCUCCAUCCAGAGAAGUCUACAACUAAUAUUAGUAAUGUUAGCCAAAGGCUUGUUUUAUUUGUCAGGGUCUUUUUGUUAUGGAGUCGUCGUGAGAUCAAUCCCCUACCACAUGCCCGGGAAUUUGAUUUCUUGUGUGUUUUGUCUCGUGUGUCUCUUGUGAGUUGCUACAAAGACCAUAUCUGUGUUAGUGCCCCACUCUGUAAACUAAAAUUAGCGUCUGAGCAGGAAGUCGAUGAGAUGUUUCCUUUCUUUACUAAACCAUAAGUCCCACUUAAACAGAAUCCUGUCAGUGCGGGGCGUCCGUGUGGGUUUAGUCCGUCACACAUCACAGAGUUUCUUCUUUAGCAUGUAUUAUGCAUGGAGAUGGCGUGUGCUAAAGGCCAGUCUUUGUCAGAGAAGAGUGUCAGGCGUCAAUAAUUAAUCAGUGCACUCUGAGUGUGUGUGUGUGUGUGUGUGUGUGUCUAUAGGAGGUCAGGAGAUCGUUUCUGAUUGGUCGACGUCACGUCAUCGGCAGAAUGGUGUACCUGAUGAUCUGUAAUAAUAGUGAUGCCAGUAAUAAUGUUCACUUUCUUUUCUUCUUUGCGUUCUUUCUUUUCCUGCUUUUUUAUUUUUCAUUUUUCCUUCUUUCCUUCCUUCCAUCACUUUCUGACUCAGACACAAAUAAAAAAUUGCAUUUUUCUUAUAUAGAUAUUAUAAAUAUCUAUUUUCUUUCAUUCAUUUGCUUAACUCUUUCUUCCUUUUUUAUUUUGACCUUUCUGUAUUCCCCCUCUUUUCUUUUGUUCUUUUAUAUUUCUUUUGCAUUCUUUUCUUGUUACUGUCAUUUCUGUACCCUUUCUU
ensembl:lncRNA